rnacentral:rRNA from 1 species
GACGAGGGAUCCUAGCGUUGUUCGGAAUUAUUGGGCGUAAAGCGGGGGGCAGGUGGCUCCGUCAGUCAGGUGUGAAAGCCCAGGGCUCAACCCUGGAAGUGCAUUUGAUACUGCGGAGCUUGAGUGCUAGAGAGACUACUGGAAUACAUGGUGUAGUGGUGAAAUACGUAGAUAUCAUGUGGAACACCGGAGGCGAAGGCGGGUAGUUGGCUAGACACUGACACUCAGCCCCGAAAGCGUGGGUAGCAAACAGGAUUAGAAACCCGAGUAGU